UCCUCCCCCGCGCGCCGCUCUCGGCGCUCGCUCGGUGACGGCUCCUCAAGCCACGCCGGCGCGGCGAGCCAGGGCGACACCCUGACGAGCCAGCCCCUUCCCCCUCCCCUCCCCUCUUUGUUUCCAAGAGAGAGACAGAGAGGAUCCUUGUUUUUCCUUUCCAGCGAGAGAAAGAGGAAGAGGAGCGCGGCAACUCUGCGCCGUGGCCAUCCUCCUCGCCGGUCGCGCGUCCUCCCUCUGCGGUGAGCGCGCCGCCGUCGAGGGAUUUGGCCGCGGUGGUUACCCCCACCCUUUUUUUCUUCCUUUCCUUUCCGGCGAGAAGUGGCUAGUUCCGGUGGUUCUUCUUCUGAAUGCCUCGGCUUGCCGAUGCGCGUCUGAAUUGAGAGGAACGGCGCAGCCUUGCGGCGGCGCGAUUACUUUGCCCUUUUGCCCCUCUUGUUCUUUUAGGGUUAGGGUUCAUGGGGACGGGGGCUCUUUUCUUUCUCCGAUUUCUUUUCUUUGUACCGAAAAUCUUAGCCUAUGUAUGGCUCUGAAACCAUUGUUAGAUCAUCUGGAUUGGGUAGGCUAGAGACUCCCGGUAAAACUACCUUCUCCUUUGGCUGACGAGCUCGAGCUAGAGGCCAUCGUGGUGAGAUGGUCACGACGAUGGCGAGAGGAAGAUGGAGGCGGUGGUGUGCUUUUCGUGAGUACCGCGCUAAUCCUAGAUCGAUAGGGAGUGUUGGUGGGGAUUAUGGCAGCGACAAACUUCGUCAGUCGUGCCCCGUCCCUCACCUUUGUUUAUAUAUGCACGGAUCAUAGGGGCCACCAACCAUAUGAGGGUUGGGCGCUCCCGAUCAGGGCGCGGAUCUAAAGGCCCGGUGGGCCGUUAGGCCUACACGGAGGAGAUCGACCUAACAAGUGUCGUCUAGAAGCUGGAAGCACGAAGCAGAGCAGCCACAUAAACACUACUGGUAGUGCUGUUCAGGUCAACUCGACGGCCUUGCUAGACGAGAGCAAACUCAAGCUGCAGUUCUGCGUCGAGAAGAUGUGUGCGGACAAAAUAUUUCUUUGCUACCGCUGCCUGGUACCGCCGCACAGGACGUGUUUUCAGAGACGUGAUGAGUGCAUGGACCACUGCCCUGUCUGUCAUUCCAA